UGGGGAAUUUUGGACAAUGGGCGAAAGCCUGAUCCAGCAAUGCCGCGUGUGUGAAGAAGGCCUUCGGGUUGUAAAGCACUUUUGUCCGGAAAGAAAUCCUUGGCUCUAAUACAGUCGGGGGAUGACGGUACCGGAAGAAUAAGCACCGGCUAACUACGUGCCAGCAGCCGCGGUAAUACGUAGGGUGCAAGCGUUAAUCGGAAUUACUGGGCGUAAAGCGUGCGCAGGCGGUUUGCUAAGACCGAAUGUGAAAAUCCCCGGGCGUCAACCUAGGGCAACUGGCAAUUGGUGGAUGCUGGGCAGGGCUAGAGUAUGGCAGAGGGGGUGAAAUCCACGUGUAGCAGUGAAAAUGCGUAGAGAUGUGGAGGAAUACCGAUGGCGAAGGCGGCCCCCUGGGCCAAUACUGACGCUCAUGCACGAAAAGCGUGGGGAGCAAAACAGGAUUAGAUACCCUGGUAGUCCACGCCCUAAAACGAUGUCAACUAGUUGUUGGGGAUUCAUUUCCUUAGUAAACGUAGCUAACGCGUGAAGUUGACCGCCUGGGGAGUAACGGUCGCAAAGAUUAAAAACUUAAAAGGAAAUUGACGGGGGUCAUAGCUG
rnacentral:rRNA from 1 species